UACAGAGGGGGCAAGCGUUGUUCGGAAUUACUGGGCGUAAAGGGCGCGUAGGCGGCCUUCUAAGUCGAACGUGAAAUCCCCGGGCUCAACCCGGGAACUGCGUCCGAUACUGGAAGGCUUGAAUCCGGGAGAGGGAUGUGGAAUUCCAGGUGUAGCGGUGAAAUGCGUAGAUAUCUGGAGGAACACCGGUGGCGAAGGCGACAUCCUGGACUGGUCCUGACACUCAGGAGCGAAAGCGUGGGGAGCGAUCCGG
rnacentral:rRNA from 1 species